AACCAAUCAGAUCACUUCUUUCAUUUUUCAGAGGUCUUGUUAAGAAUUAAACAGGCAAUCUGGUUGCUAUGGGCAACUUGUCUCCCUUUCCUCUGCACAGGUUUUAAAAAUCUCCUCCUCACUAUGUACCAUAGACAAGGAGACGGAAUGCAGAUUCUCUCAUGCAGUGCCUGGUAGAGACAAAGGGAAUCACAAAGAUCUGCAAAUGGCAUUCAGAUCCAAAGAAAGAAACCAAAGAUCACACCUUCAAACUAACAGGAACCUUGUUGCUGAGGAGAGUUUAAAGGGAUAUUCCCAUUUGGACACAUAUGGCAUUUUUACUGGAUAUUACUGUUACUAAAGGUUGUUGAGAAGCUGAAAACAGCUUCCCUGGAAAGCUAACAUAACACUGUACUUGUAAUGUCCCUGUGAACAAUGAGAAAAAAACGAGAACACACUCAGAUUAGGGAAAGAAGGCUGAAACACAGAAACAAGCAAACUGAGUAAAAUGUUGGUAACUUUUAAAUACAUGAAAAUACAGAAACAAUUAGAAACGAGCAGCUCACAGUGUGCAAAACUGAAGUUGUCCUGUCCGUCUUCAGUUAAAUUUUAAAUACAAAUGUAGGAUAAUGCAAGAAGAACCAAGAACUAUCUGAGAUAGUUCUAAAAAACAUACAAGAAAUACUGGGUAAAACUCAAACUUUAUACUAUAAUCUGCUCGGAACUGCACAUUUCAGGAAUUUAUAAAGAGAAACUAUCCAGUUGGAGCCAAUUUAAAG